UCUUCCUGCCUUGACGUCACGUCACUGCGAACAUGAGAACGUACCGCGAAAGUGAUUCCCGGAGACCUUUUGUUUUUUCGGCCGCCGGGCGAAAGAUCAAAGGUAAUCAUCCUCCCGGCUGUUUCGGUAAUUAGCUUCGCCGUGGAGAGGCAGGCUGCUCGUGUUGAUCGAGUAUUAAAACCAGGAGCCGGGGGGGUUUCCGUCAGCCUCGUGGAAGGCUUGUCAGAAUCGGCUGAGAGAACAGCUGGCUGUGGGGGUGUGACAGCAUGUCAGAGGGCUGCUACUUACCCCGCCUUAAGGAAGCUGCUUCCAACAGCGGGGGGCUACGGAGGCUGGAAUCUGCCACGAAGCUGAUUCGCAGGGACGUUUCCACGGCAUCGGCGUUUGAAAACAUCUGAAAAUAAAACCAAAAAAAUACUUCUCAUCACAGGGUUAAGGCUCAUUAGGGCCCAAGUGUUUUAACGCCAUCCUAAAGUUAUUUCCGAAGAGAGAAAAUUAAAUUCCCCGCUAGGUUUCAUGGCAUUCCCCUGAAAAUGAACGAGAGCUUUUAUUAGAGAGGACACUUCAUUGUUAGCAAUUUCAUAACCAAGCCGCAUAAUGUCUACAGUCCCAUUUAGCCGUUCCCUCGCCUUGUUUAUGCACUGCCUCCCUCCGUUCCAGAGGACGCCUCAAACCUGAAGACCUUGCGCGCUAAAGGUUAACAGAAAGUGACUUAUUAAAGGUCCGCUGUUAAUUAAGCCCCACGCUGGCCGGCCGGUCCUGCUCUCCUCGUCUCCGGUGCAUGUGGAUCAGGCAGGAGUCUCCGUGUAUCCCGGACUCGGCCGUAAAGCGAAAGGCCUUCCAAACACUGCCCUAAUAAGGGCUCCGUCUUUACUAUGCAGACACCGUGAGCUCACAACAUGGCCUCGGCCCCCAUAUUUCAACAUCUUAAAACGAGCGACUCCAGUGGAUGGGGUUAACUGUCAGCACGGAGCCCUUAAACUGAAUUCCAUGUGCGUGCCGGUGACUGCCAAAUUAGGUCGCAAUAUAAAGUUGACGGUCACUGUAUAAAUCAGCCAUUUGGCAGGGAGGACUCUUAGAUAGACCACUGUGAUAAAACUCCUCAACAAAUAUAUAUUUUAAAAAAUAUACAGCUAAAUUAAAAAAAAAAAAAAGCCAUUUUGAAUGGGAAUGGAAUCAAAUCCAAAGCUGGUUGUAGAGUCCAUCGCAGACCCAAGACGGUACCAGUCCCAGAAGAAAUUAAAUUCAAACCCAUUAUUGUUGCCUGAAAGUCUGUAACUGUCCCGAAACGAUGACAUCAUCUUUCCAGCAGUGGCCCAUAAUCCUCCUCUAUUAUUUUCAGCUGUUCCAUGCUGCCCUCAGAUCAGUUUUAGCUGACCCAUUUCGCCGUUUCCUUUUGUUUUUGUCAAUCGCUCUCUCUCACACAAACUUUUUUGGCCUUUGGUAUCAGAAGCCUUGGGCUAUACGUCCUAUUUCAACAAGGUGUUUCUCUUGAAAUUGGUAAAACAAGGUUUAUAAAUUUAUAAAGCGCAAAUCAUUUCUGAGUGAAAUUUAAAUUAUGCAUUGUUAUCCAUCUCGCUAAUCUUCAUAUAACCUAUUCGGCCCGGGUCCUGCAAUCAAACAAUGAUUCGCACAUUUAAUAACUGGCACGGUGCAAAAUUCCCGCGUAAUAACCACGGCCUCACCUUUUUAAAAUAUUCAUUUAUUUUAGUCAGACGCCAUAAAUGGCGAGAUAAAAACCGAGGCGGGUGUGAGGAAGCAAAAAAAAAAAAAAAACAAUAGAAUAGAAUAAAAUAAAAUAAAAUAAAAUAAAAAUGCACUGUAGGAUUCUGAUAAAUUUAAGCCUUUCUAAACCAAAACAUCUGUAGUCCUAUGGGCUGUCAAGCCAGAUCUUCAAGCUGAGGAAGAUGGUUUACACUCCCAAUGCAGAGCGAGGGGUCUGGCCCAUUUAAUGCCAGGCCUGAGUGUUCCUCCUUUUGUGGUGGUUUAAUCAAGUUCCCCUGCUUGUCAGCGUUUGCACGCUAAUCCAGCAACGCACGACGAAUGCGGCGCGGACCUGUAACCUGCCUUUGUGUGUCGGGCUCACAUGAGAAUGCACCCAAACGCCACUGGACAGCCCCCGAAGAUUAAGACUGAACAGAGUGGCAGCCAUCGCCGCCAAGGCUAAUGCCCUUCAGCAUUGUCUUGUGCCCGAGCCGCAGAUACGACGGUUGAAGCUCCUCUCUUCUCUGUCCCUGACAAAUGAUCGUAUUUUAAGGUAAAAAAUGUCCUUAUUCGUUACCGGGCUGACGAAUCCUCGGAGCUACGCCAUUCUGAACCACAUUAUGGCGCUUAGUGUUCAUUUCACAAUGUGUAUUUUUCUUUUCUUUACCAUCACAGAGCAUCUCCUGGGCUCCGUUGACAUUGUAAAUAUGUUCGGCGCUGUCCGAACUAAUUUCUGCUACAUAUCCAGUCUGGCAGCGGCUUUUAUGCUACAGGGGACCCCUUCUCCAGUCUGGGCUCGACCUGAAGAGCGGAACGGCCUGUUUAUGCCUGUUUAUGCAUGACCCGGGCUUGUUUGUUCAUCUGUCGCUUUUGCAUAUCCGUGCCGAACAUGAAAGACCAUCGUCCUCGUGACGAUUCUCGGAUCCACGCGGCCCAGAACCUGACGGAUACAGGGCAUCGUUCUCUUCUUUUGCGGCCGACACAAAUGGCCUGAGUUUUUUUCCAAAUGGCUACCUAAUGAAGAAGUGACUCGCAAAAAGGAAAGAUGAUUCAGUCCCUGCUGUUUAGUGGGAUUUUUAUACGUUAUUUUAUAUUACAUUAAAUGCUUUUCAACAUAUUUCAAUUGUGUUAUAAUAAUAUAUUCAAAACUGCAUUAUUUAAUUUAAUUUUUACUCUGUAGGUAAUUCACAAUCCUGAAACAAAUUCAAGAUAACACAGGCUGGAAGAUAUUUUUAUAUAAAUUGCACAUUCCCCCUUCUGUAUUGUCUAAGGAAAUUGAAUAACAGCACAUCGGACACCAUAAUUGGCAAGUCACAUAAAGCCAUUUCAUUCUGGUGAAAUAUUUCUAUUAUAUUAUUUUCGGUUACAUUUCUGUGUGUUGGCCUCAACAAGGUAUCAGAGAAAUCCGCAAAAAUAAAUCUAAAGUCAAUAAUUUUAA